rnacentral:other from 1 species
AGACAUAAAAAAGAUGUAUGAUGAAUUAGUAGUAUAUUUGAACAUUAAUCAAUUGGUAAUUUUAAGCAACACCGAAAUUCCUCUUUUUUAAUCAAGAAAUUAUUGCAAAAAAAUGAUUGUGCUCAGCACAAGGAGGAAUUUUAUUAUGAACAACGGUACAGUAAAAUGGUUUAACGCAGACAAAGGUUUUGGAUUUAUCACUAAAGAAGACGGACAAGAUGUAUUUGCUCACUUCUCAGCUAUCCAAAGCGAAGGUUUCAAAACUUUAGAAGAAGGUCAAGCAGUGACUUUCGACGUUGAAGAAGGCCAACGUGGACUUCAAGCAACUAACAUCCAAAAAAACUAAAACUGACUUAUACAACACGAUUCAAGGUUCUUGAAUCGUGUUUUU